GGGGGGGGGGGGUGUUGAGAUGAAAGAGCUUACAUGAUUGUACACACUGUAUAUACAAUGUAUAUUUAUUUUAUUCUCUAGUAUACAUUGUACGGGCUAUGAUGAUUAAUUUGUUAUUUGAGCCAAAUGUGUGUCUGAGCCCAAAUGUAUCUGAGCCCCAUUUACUUUCGGUCAUUGGGCCGCCUGACCCGACCCAUAGCUAGGUGUAUAUAUAGCUGUAUCUCAGAUAUUUUUAGACACGGAUUUCAUUUCACUCUCUUUUCUGAUUAAUAAUACUCUCUUUCUUCCAGAGACUUCUCUCAGACGCUCCUCCUUCUCUCUAGAUUCUCUCACUACAUUUUCCAUGACUCUUCGGUUUAAUCUCAAAGUUUUCAUGGUAUACAUUGUAUAUACAGUAUGUACAAUCAUGUAAGCUCUUUCAUCUCAACAGAAAGAGUGAUAUAUUUAUCAUAAUUAGAUUUUCUUCUUUGUAGAAGGAAAUUAUAAAUCUUCCAUAUUUGACUAGUUCCUUUUCUUGUAGGAAAAGGUGUGUACUUCUAUAAAUUGAAGAUCCUUUCUUCUCAUUCAGUAGCAUUCACAAUGUAGUCAUAGGAGGCUUGAGAGUAGUAUUUAGGGGAAGAACUUUACGGGACAAGUGUUAGUGUGUUAUUUGUGUUUGCCUCCUCGUGUGGUUGUUUUCUCGAUAUUUUGUACUCUUUGUUAUUAUAAUGGAUUGUUCAUCUCCGUCGUGAAUGUAGG
rnacentral:lncRNA from 1 species